GCUGGGCACGGUGGCGCGUGCCUGUAAUCCCAGCUGCUGGGGAGGCUGAGGCAGGAGAAUUGCCUGAACCCAGGAGGCGGAGAUUGCAGUGAGCCAAGAUCGUGCCAUUGCACUCCAGCCUGGGUAACAAGAGCGAAACCACGUUUCAAAAAAAAAAAAGGAGAUCUAAUUCUCUUUCUUUUUCUUUUCUUUUUUUUUUGAGAUGGAGUUUCGCUCUUGUUACCCAGGCUGGAGUGCAAUGGCGCGAUCUUUGCUCACCGCAAUCUCCGCCUCCUGGGUUCAGGCAAUUCUCCUGCCUCAG
rnacentral:SRP_RNA from 13 species